GUCCCCGUAGCUCAGUAGGAUAGAGCGCAGGAUUCCUAAUCCUGAGGUCAGAGGUUCGAAUCCUCUCGGGGACGCCA
rnacentral:tRNA from 1 species